UACGUAGGGGGCGAGCGUUGUCCGGAGUUACUGGGCGUAAAGGGCAUGCAGGCGGUCCGACACGUUUUGUGUGACAGCGGGUGGCUUAACUACCCGAGGAUGCAAAAGACGGUAGGACUUGAGGACUCGAGAGGGACACGGAAUUCCGGGUGGAGUGGUGAAAUGCGUAGAGAUCCGGAGGAACACCGAAGGCGAAGGCAGUGUCCUGGCGAGUGACUGACGCUGAGGUGCGAAAGCCAGGGGAGCGAACGGG
rnacentral:rRNA from 1 species